GACGUAGGAGGCGAGCGUUGUCCGGAUUCAUUGGGCGUAAAGAGCACGCAGGCGGUUUGGCAAGUCGGAUGUGAAAACCCGAAGCUCAACUUCGGGCCUGCAUCCGAAACUGCCCGACUAGAGGUAGGUAGGGGAGAUCGGAAUUCCUGGUGUAGCGGUGAAAUGCGCAGAUAUCAGGAGGAACACCGGUGGCGAAGGCGGGUCUCUGGGCCGCAACUGACACUGAGGGACGAAAGCUAGGGGAGCGAAUGGG
rnacentral:rRNA from 1 species